GCCUCCCCUUUGGCCCCAGGGCGCGGGGCACCACGCGGAAAGCCCCACCCGCUCCGGAGGACGUCCAAUGGGCGCGGAGCGCGGGAAGCUGGGGGCGGAGCCGGAGCGGCCAGGCGGCCCUGCGACGCAGCGGGCUCAGAGGUCCUCGCCCACAGUGGAGAGCUGUACGGGUUUAAGAGUCCCCUGCCUUGGAAACGUGUGUGUCAGACUUCGUCUGCUGUUUGCAGAACACUAGCCACACUGUUUGGGGAAGCGCGGAAUGAGUAACAGCCUCUGCUUUCAAGGAUAUCCCAAUCAGUCAGGCGGAGGAGCAGAUGGGUAAACAGAAACUGAAGAAGAGGCUGAAUAUGAGGCAGUUGGAAUAGUGAAAAGACAGCAGCCAUUGAUACAUGGACUCACGGCCAGAGAAGACAAGAAAAUGAGCCCCUCAGAAAUUAUCGACUAAAACAGAAUGAAUGGAUCCUGGCUAAGCCCCUGCCAUGGCAAAAUCCAGUGGAAUUGAUGUUCAGCUUAUGUGCUUAAAUGGAGCAACCUGCCAUGUUAGAGAGUCCCACGUGGCAAAGAACUGAGAGAGGCCUCCAGCCAACAGCCAGAGAAGAACUGAAUCCUGCCAGCAAGCAGGUAAGUCAGCCUGGAAUCAAAUCCUUUCCCAGUAGAGACUGGCGAUGACCACAGUCCUAUCUGAUCCUUGACUGCAGCCUGUGUAGCAGCGGACCCGGCUAAGCCAGCCUGGACUCCUGACCUUACAGAAACUAAGAGAUAAUAAGUAUUGUUGAAAAACACUAAAUUUGGGGACUAAUUUGUCACAUAGCAACUGAUAACUAGUACAAUGGGAUAACAAUUCCUUCCAGAAUUACAGUGAGAAUUAGAACAUAUAUGAGGAUUAGAAUAAUGACAGUAAUGGUAAUGACAACGACAACAGGGGAUCCCAGCUAAGCUUAAAUUAAGAUUCAGAACCUGGCAGAAAUGCUACUAUUGUGAAGAAGUUAUAUUUAGUGCUUGAACCCCCUGAGGAGUACAAGAAAGAUGAAAGUACAAAAAACAAGGUAUCACAUUUCUCAAUCAGGCCCAGACUAUGUCUGACUCUGAUAGAAGGGGACUUGUUGAGCAAAGCUAAAGUAGCAGGUUUGUGAGAGUUAGUGAACAAGAAAAGGUGUGUGGGGGCCCAGGUGACAAAGUUUCACCAAGAACUGGGAAGAGGGUUACUCUCCCACUUCUGCUUAGAUUGGAGCAUGGCUACAACAAUAAAGUGAAGCCAAGAGACAGUGCAGUUGUUCAACUCAAGAGUUCCUGCCUUGGGAGUAUGGAGCGUAGGACCCUCGAUGGGGAGGAAGGGUUCUCAUGGGGGAUAUUGGCCACCAUGAAGGAGACAAGGCCCUCCUGCUUCUCCUGAGAUUGGCACAUAGCUAUUUCUAUGUUUGUGGUUGAUAAACAGUAAAAAAGACUAUGAGAAGGGAAGUUGAGUACCUAUGUCUCUGUAAGCCAGUACAGUUGGGGUAUAGGUGCCUUUAAGGACAUGCAGAGUUCUGACAGGCAAAGAAAGGAAAAUAGACAUUCUGAACUGAGGGAACAGCACAAGUAAAGAUUCAGAGCGGUGAACAUAAAUCAUUUCCUUAGGGAAAAGUAAGUUGUCCUGUGUGAUCAGAGAAAGGAGUAAAAACUAGUUAACAUCUCCUAUUCUGAUUCUUUUUUUAAAAAUUUAUUUAUUGUUUAAUUUACAUCCAAGUUAGUUAGCAUAUAGUGCGACGAUGAUUUCAAGGGUAGAUUCCUUAAUGCCCCUUACCCAUUUAGCCCACCGCCCCUCCCACAACCCUUCCAGUAACCCUCUGUUUGUUCUCUAUAUUUAAGAGUCUCUUAUGUUUUGUCCCCCUCCCUGUUCUUAUAUUAUUUUUGCUUCCCUUCCCUUAUGUUCAUAUGUUUAGUGUCUUAAGUUCCUCAUAUGAGUGAAGUCAUAUGAUAUUUGUCUUUCUCUGACUAAUUUCGCUUAGCAUAAUAUCCUCCGGUUCCAUGCACGUAGUUGCAAAUGGCAAGAUUUCAUUCCUUUUGAUUGCUGAGUAAUACUCCAUUGUAUGCAUAUACCACAUCUUUUUUAUCCAUUCAUCCAUCAAUGGAUAUUUGGGCUCUUUCCAUACUUUGGCUAUUGUUGAUAGCACCGCUAUAAACAUUGGGGUGCAUGUGCCCCUUCGAAACAGCAUACCUGUACCCCUUGGAUAAAUACCUAGUGGUGCAAUUUCUGGGUUGUAGGGUAGUUGCAUUUUUAAUUUUUUGAGGAACCUCCAUACUGUUUUCCAGAGUGGCUGCUCCAGUUUGCAUUCCCACCAACAGUGCAAAAGAGAUCCUCUUCCUCUGCAUCCUCGCCAACAUCUGUUGUUGCUUGAGUUGUUAAUGUUAGCCAUUCUGACAGGUGUGAGGUGGUAUCUCAUUGUGGUUUUGAUUUGUAUUUCCCUGAUGAUGAGUGAUGUUGAGCAUUUUUUCAUAGAUCUGUUCACCAUCUGGAUGUCUUCUUUGGAGAAGUGUGUAUUCAUGUCUUUUGCCCAUUUUUUCACUGGAUUAUUUGUUUUUUGGGUGUUGAGUUUGCUAAGUUCUUUAUAGAUUUUGGAUACUAACCCUUUAUCUGAUAUGUCGUUUGCAAAUGUCUUCGCCCAUUCUGUCAGUUGCCUUUUAGUUUUGCUGAUUGUUUCCUUCACUGUGCAGAAGCUUUUUAUUUUGAUGAGGUCCCAAUAGUUCAUUUUUGCUUUUGUUUCCCUUGCCUCCAGAGAUGUGUUGAGUAAGAACUUGCUGCAGCUGAGGCGAAAGAGGUUUUUGCCUGCUUUCUCCUCGAGGAUUUUGAAGGCUUCCUAUCUUGCAUUUAGGUCUUUCAUCCAUUUUGAGUUUAUUUUUGUGUAUGGUGUAAGAAAGUGGUCCAGGUUAAUUUUUCUGCACGUCGCUGUCCAGUUUUCCCAGUACCACUUGUUGAAGAGACUGUCUUUAUUCCAUGGUGUAUAUUCUUUCCUGCUUUGUUAAA